rnacentral:rRNA from 1 species
AUUGAACGCUGGCGGCAGGCCUAACACAUGCAAGUCGGACGGUAGCACAGAGGAGCUUGCUCCUCGGGUGACGAGUGGCGGACGGGUGAGUAAUGUCUGGGGAUCUGCCCGAUAGAGGGGGAUAACCACUGGAAACGGUGGCUAAUACCGUAUAACGUCGCAAGACCAAAGAGGGGGACCUUCGGGCCUCCCACUAUCGGAUGAACCAAGAUGGGAUUAGCUAGUAGGCGGGGUAAUGGCCCACCUAGGCGACGAUCCCUAGCUGGUCUGAGAGGAUGACCAGCCACACUGGAACUGAGACACGGUCCAGACUCCUACGGGAGGCAGCAGUGGGGAAUAUUGCACAAUGGGCGCAAGCCUGAUGCAGCCAUGCCGCGUGUAUGAAGAAGGCCUUCGGGUUGUAAAGUACUUUCAGCGGGGAGGAAGGCGAUAAGGUUAAUAACCUUGUCGAUUGACGUUACCCGCAGAAGAAGCACCGGCUAACUCCGUGCCAGCAGCCGCCGUAA